CCGCGCUUGGUGCGACAAUCGUCGCUCCGUCCGUCCACUCGGCCCGCCCCGUGCGAAAAGGAAACUCGCAGCCUCGCCAUCUCGGAAGGAAACAUCGCGCGUCGCAGGCCUCCCCGGAGCCAUCGCUCCACACCUCGCACGAAUGGCCCCGGCAUCCCUCCUGCCUCGAUCUGCCUGCCCCGCCGCUCGCCGAUGUCAAUCGGCAACCCCUCGGUGGUGUCCCCGCCGCCGCUCCCUUACCCUCUUUGUGCGCAUCGACUUCACCACCAAGAUCUAGAUCUGCCCGUUCUACUUCUCUCGAAACUCCAAUGUCCCUGCCGAGCUCUUCCAGUUCACUGUCCCUGGCUUGCCCCGGCAGUGGUUUUCGUCCUGCUGAUUCACUCCACGGCGGAUUCCAUGUUGAUCGACGGGAUGAGGUCCGUGGUCACGACGUGAGCGACUACCACGGCGAGGAGCGGCACAGGCUCGUGAACCUCAUCGCGAAGACGACUUAGGAUCCAUGAGCAGGUCCAUCAUCCACCUGGCUCAAGGGGAAGAAGUAUGUACGACAUCGCGAGGAAGCUGGGGACUUGCUCGUGAGCCACUGCUGGUUCACAGAGUGUCUCAGGGAGGGGAGGCGCCUUGCAGAGGACCCCUACUUGAUGGUAAGUGGUGGAGAAGCAGGGCCAAUCCCAGAGCUGCUUGCUUGUUCCCGUACAUAAGGCGAGAAAAAUGCCAUCAUGGAGGACUGGGUUUUCCAAGAGUUACCUGAUGAUUUUCGGGACACUUCUUCAGCCAGAGCCAGCUAUAAAGUUAAGCUUGAUGGUUUCAAUUCUGAUUUUGAGUCUGCCCUACUAAAAAAAAUUGGUUUGACCUGUUGGCAGUCAGUUCUAGACGAAGAUGGCCAAUCGCCUGAAACAUAUGCCAAGUUGAGGAAUCAUAAUUCUUAUAAUGAGCUUGUAGCGCAAAAGCUGGUGGACAUGAAGAACAACCAGGUUACUAUAACAGUUAAUGGCGAUGAAAUUCGUAUGGAUCAGUUAGGGAAUGUUGGUGACCAUAAACAAUUUGGGGUUCAGGUGUUGCAAAUAAGAUCUUGCUCCCAGUGUGCCAUUUUGGAGUCUGGUGUGCUAAGGCAGCCGGUGCGAUCAAGGGGAGUCUGCGUCUGCGUCUGUGUAUUCAUGCGAGCUUUGCUGCGGAUUAAUUCUGGUAAAUCCUUCAAGUGGGAGAGGCUGGAUUUUGGUACAAUAUAAUAUAAUGAUGGGGACACCUGAGCCUUGUGGUAUUAUUAAGUUAACAAGCAGUUGGGGUUUGAAGCUAUUUUGGAGCCUUGGAGGUUAUGGAGAUUGUUUUAAGCUUCCUUGAAACUCUUCUAUCCAUGGUUGAGUGGCAGAAUGUAAUAUUGUUGGAGAAAUCCUUUACUUCCUGUGAAAUAGAACUGUUAAUAGGUGAGGUGCUGGAGAUGUUGGAUGCCUACAGGCAAGUUAAAGGGAAAAAAUGGCAAAACCUGGUGCCAAAGGUGGAGCUUGAGCAGAGUUGGCACAUCUCAUGGAAAGGGACGUAACAACUGCGCUCCCACAAGAUGAAAUCCAAAAGAUGGAUGCAAUCGCAGUUUGGGGAUAAUGAACCUGCCAAAGCCGUUGUGUUUGCAUGGUUGAAACCACGCAGUGCUGUCCAUGCACGAUCUCCACCGCCGCUAAAUCUAUCUCAGGAAUGGUUGAGUGGAGCCUGUGUUGGCAUGCAGGGUCUUGGGGAGAACGAGUGUGCAAGGGAGAGAUAAAGUGUGUUGCGUGAUUGUGGGGUACGUACAAGUGUAUUUAUAUUUUUAGUCUUUGUCAGAAUGUUUAGUUUGCAACAAUUGAUUUUUGUAAGUGCCGGUAGAUGCACAUCCACAUUUAUAAAUUAUCCAUGUUAAUGUUUGGAAUAACUGAUUAUGUAUCCAUGUUGACAUCAAUAAAUUAUCCAUAUUUAUAGUCUA